GAUGAACGCUGGCGGCGUGCCUAAUACAUGCAAGUCGAGCGAUCAGGCGAGGAGCUUGCUCCUCUGACGUUAGCGGCGGACGGGUGAGUAACACGUGGAUAACCUACCUAUCAGUCUUGGAUAACUUCGGGAAACCGGAGCUAAUACCGGAUAAUAUAUUCAACCGCAUGGUUCAAUAGUUAAAGAAGGUUUUGCUGUCACUUAUAGAUGGAUCCGCGCCGCAUUAGCUAGUUGGUAAGGUAACGGCUUACAAAGGCAACGAUGCGGAGCCGACCUGGGAGGAGGAUCGGCCACACUGGAACUGAGGCACGGUCCAGACUCCUACUGGAGGCAGCAGUAGGGAAUAUUCCGGAAUGGGCGAAAGCAUGACGGAGCAACGCCGCGUGAGGGAUGAAGGACUUCGGAGCGUAGAACUCUGUUAUUAGGAAAGAACAAAGGUGUAAGUAACUAUGCACGUCUUGACGGUACCUAAACAGAAAGCCACGGCUAACUACGUG
rnacentral:rRNA from 1 species